ensembl:lncRNA
GCAUGAGAGAGCUGCAAAGUAGAAAGAGGCUGCUGCAUGCCUUAACCCACGUUGUUACUCCAGCCUCCAAACAGCAAUUUGAUUAGCUUUUUUUCGGUGAUAAAAGAUAAAGAUUUAUUGUAACCCACAUACAAUUGAAAUCAGAAUUUCACAGGAGGGUCACAGUCAUUAGGGAAGUUUUGGAAUACUAUUGUCUUAACAAGCACCAUAUGGGCUGCCGCUGUUAUUAUUUAACACCUAUUAAGGAGGCACAUCAUUCUAGGCUUUGAACAGCUGAGAGGCCAUAGCCCCCACCGUCCUUGGAGCUUUGAGUCGAUGCCGCAGGUAGGGUGCGUGUUUUCUGGAUGAAGGGCACGUACCGACAAGAUUUAACGAUAACAGGCACGAAAACCAGUUUAGAAGCUUGAGAUGGAAAUCAUACAAAACAGUCCACUCCUUAUAUAUUUUAUCGAGGAACCUGGAAGCCUUUUCGGUGGAAAUUUGAUUCCUGGGAAGUUAUUCUGGCUGGAGCCUGUUUGUCUUGACACAGCAGCCCUGUACUCGCAGCCUGCUCUGCUCCUUCACAAAGCUUUUUGAGGGGAAACUAUGUUGAGAGAUACAAAUUCAAGUUUUUGUGAAAGCACACCUCAGAAUUGUCCAGUUCUAUUCCAGAUACACAAAAACAGUGAAUAAAGGUCAGGGAGUCUCCAGAUACCUUGGGCUUCGUGUGGUCAUUUCAGCCCCAUGGACUGUAGACCACUAGGCUUCUCCGUCCAUGGGAUUCUCCAGGCAAGAAUACUGGAGUGGGU